GUUAUCAGUGGAUACAGUCCCACUCACCCUGGGAAGAUUCAGGAAACCAGCAGACCCUUUCAAGGACCUCUGCUCCCUGCACAGAGCUGGAUCACUUACCUAGUCAUGAGAGGCUUAACCAGAUAUAGCUGCAUAUUAUUAAAACAAGCCUACCAUAAGGGAGUGUCUACAAUGUAAUGAUUUUGAAAGGAGUACGAUUAAGAAGGGAUUGAAUCCAGGGAAAUACAUUCUCUUUUUGACCUGCAAAUGGGAGAUGGACCACAGAGAUAUAUGAAAAGACAGAUUUAAUAUUUUAAGAAUUGUAUACUUCCAAUUCAUAACUUAUAUGCUGAGUAACCCUAAUGUCUCCCUGGGAAAGUUUACCAUUUUAUGUAGAAGUGCAGGGGUGCAUUGGUGGAUAUGCCUUUUUUUAAAAGAAGUGUCCUUCACCUUCAAAGUAAAGUUGACUCCCACACCGCAGUCCAUUAGAAAAGAUCUUGGCUCUUCCCAUCCCAGCUAGCACACUGACAGCACGCAUCUUCUCCUCUUAAAUUACUUGUUACUACACAAAUGCAAAAUUGCCUUUGUUCAGGCUCAGUCUUUCUGGGUCAAAGCCAAUCUUGAAUUUAAAUUUUUAAAAAGAAAUUCUAUUACGAUGAAGGAGCACUGAUGUGAAACAAUCUGUCUCUCCUAGAACACUAAUGGAUGCUUUUAAAACAAACAAGUCCCAGUUCCUGAAAGUGGGUGCUGAUAGGAGUAGGACACAUAUGACUGAGCUGUGGGGGAUUCAGAAUCACCAGGAGAACAUCUUCAAAAUUUACAAAGAGGCAGGCAGAGGUAUUAUUCUUUGACAAAUAUACAUACUCCCCCACACACAUACCACAUCCAACACCCCAGAUUGGAAAUCACAGAAGAGAAUUGCUAGAAUAUCCCUUUUCCCCUACUAAUACUUUGUGGAGGUUUCCAACCCAAAAUGAAACAGGGGAGUAGAGCCAAAUGUCAAGGCUCUAAGAGGAACAACCUACUGUCCCUUUACAGGCCUAGCUAAUUCCACUGAAAGAGUGGUAGUUAUUUCUUCUUUAACCUUUAGAUUAGCUGUCCAUUAUUGCUAAUAGUUUAUAUUUUUGAAAUGUGGUAACAAGCAAUAACACAUAAAGUAUUGCAUAUAAUUACACACUGUUGCUACCUUCAAAUUAUGUUAUUUUAAAAUAUACUAGGCAUGGUCUGUAGUUGCAUCCAUUUACCUAUAAAA